UACUGCCUGCUUCUGCUGCUACGAAGAAGGAAGAGGAAGAGAGGCAGCGAAGGAAGGCGAGGGAAACACGAGCGAGGCACCAUUUGCUGCUGCUGCUGCUGCUGCUGCUCCGCCGGCCUCAGCCAUGGAGAACGCGCACACGAAGACCGUGGAGGAAGUUUUGGCUUAUUUCGGUGUCAACGAGAGCACCGGGCUCAGCUUGGAGCAGGUCAAGAAGCUCAAGGAGAGAUGGGGCGCCAACGAGCUACCAGCUGAAGAAGGAAAAACUUUACUUGAGCUUGUGAUCGAACAGUUUGAAGAUUUAUUAGUUAGAAUUUUGUUGUUGGCAGCGUGUAUAUCAUUUGUGUUGGCCUGGUUUGAAGAAGGUGAAGAAACAAUCACAGCCUUUGUAGAGCCUUUUGUAAUCUUACUCAUAUUGGUAGCCAAUGCAAUUGUGGGUGUGUGGCAGGAAAGAAAUGCUGAAAAUGCCAUUGAAGCUCUUAAAGAAUAUGAACCUGAAAUGGGUAAAGUGUAUAGACAAGACAGAAAAAGUGUACAAAGGAUAAAAGCAAGAGACUUGGUCCCAGGUGAUAUCGUGGAAGUAGCUGUUGGCGAUAAGGUUCCUGCUGACAUAAGAAUUACUUCUAUAAAAUCCACAACUCUGAGGGUAGACCAGUCAAUUCUCACAGGUGAAUCUGUGUCUGUAAUUAAGCACACGGACCCUGUGCCUGAUCCUCGUGCAGUGAACCAAGACAAGAAAAACAUGCUCUUUUCUGGUACGAACAUUGCUGCAGGGAAAGCUAUGGGUGUGGUUGUGGCAACUGGCGUGAACACUGAAAUUGGCAAAAUUCGUGAUGAAAUGGUGGCUACUGAGCAGGAGAGGACCCCGCUUCAGCAGAAGCUGGACGAGUUUGGAGAGCAGCUGUCAAAGGUCAUCUCCCUGAUUUGCAUUGCUGUGUGGAUAAUCAACAUCGGUCACUUCAAUGAUCCUGUCCAUGGUGGCUCCUGGAUUCGGGGUGCCAUCUACUAUUUCAAAAUUGCUGUGGCACUUGCUGUGGCUGCAAUCCCAGAGGGCCUGCCUGCUGUCAUUACCACUUGCUUGGCUCUGGGUACUCGCCGAAUGGCAAAGAAGAAUGCUAUUGUUCGAAGCCUGCCAUCUGUGGAAACCCUGGGCUGCACUUCCGUAAUCUGUUCAGACAAGACUGGAACUCUUACCACCAACCAGAUGUCAGUUUGCAGGAUGUUCGUUGUGGACCGAGUGGAAGGAGAUAGCUGUUCUCUGAAUGAAUUUACAGUGUCUGGCUCAACAUACGCCCCCGUAGGAGAAGUGCAUAAAGAUGAUAAACUUAUCAAAUGCUGUCAGUAUGAUGGCCUUAUAGAAUUGGCAACAAUCUGUGCCCUUUGCAACGAUUCUUCUCUGGAUUUCAAUGAGGCUAAAGGAGUGUAUGAAAAGGUUGGUGAAGCCACAGAGACUGCCCUCACAUGUCUGGUGGAGAAGAUGAAUGUGUUUGACACAGAGUUGAAAGGACUGUCCAGAAUUGAACGGGCGAACGCUUGCAACUCGGUGAUAAAGCAACUCAUGAAGAAAGAGUUCACCCUUGAAUUCUCAAGGGAUAGAAAGUCCAUGUCGGUGUACUGCACUCCAAACAAGCCCAGCCGGACUGCUAUGAGCAAGAUGUUCGUUAAGGGUGCUCCCGAAGGAGUAAUUGACAGGUGUACACACAUCCGGGUUGGCAGCACUAAAGUGCCAUUGACACCAGGAAUUAAGCAGAAGCUCAUGAGCGUCAUCCGAGAGUGGGGCACAGGCCGAGAUACCCUGCGCUGCUUGGCUUUAGCAACACACGACAAUCCACUAAGAAGGGAAGACAUGAAAUUAGAGGAUUCUGCAAAUUUCAUUACUUACGAGACCAAUUUGACAUUUGUUGGCUGUGUGGGGAUGCUGGAUCCCCCACGAAUUGAAGUGGCGUCAUCCAUAAAGUUGUGUCGGAAAGCUGGUAUUCGUGUGAUUAUGAUAACAGGGGAUAACAAGGGGACAGCAGUGGCCAUCUGUCGUCGUAUUGGCAUCUUUGGGGAAGACGAAGAUGUCACCACGAGAGCCUUUACAGGGCGUGAGUUUGAUGAACUUUCCCCAGCUGCCCAGAGGGACGCUUGCCUAAAUGCGCGCUGCUUUGCCCGUGUGGAGCCUUCCCAUAAGUCUAAGAUUGUUGAGUUUCUCCAGUCUUUUGAUGAGAUCACAGCUAUGACUGGAGAUGGUGUAAAUGAUGCCCCAGCACUGAAGAAAGCAGAGAUUGGCAUUGCUAUGGGGUCAGGCACUGCGGUGGCAAAAACAGCUUCAGAAAUGGUGCUGGCUGACGACAACUUCUCGACCAUUGUAGCAGCUGUGGAAGAGGGACGUGCAAUCUACAAUAACAUGAAACAAUUCAUUCGCUACCUCAUCUCCUCCAAUGUUGGAGAGGUUGUUUGUAUCUUCCUGACUGCUGCCUUGGGUUUCCCUGAAGCUUUAAUUCCUGUGCAGCUGUUGUGGGUGAACCUUGUGACUGAUGGACUCCCUGCCACUGCUCUGGGAUUCAACCCCCCUGAUCUUGACAUCAUGGACAAACCACCUCGCAAUCCCAAAGAGCCCUUGAUCUCUGGGUGGCUCUUCUUCCGCUACUUGGCCAUUGGAUGCUACGUUGGAGCUGCUACGGUGGGAGCUGCUGCUUGGUGGUUUAUUGCUGCUGAUGGUGGCCCAAGAAUUACCUACUACCAGCUGAGCCAUUUUCUGCAGUGCAAAGAGGACAAUCCAGAAUUUGAAGGUGUUGACUGUGUGGUCUUUGAGUCUCCAUACCCUAUGACAAUGGCACUUUCCGUCUUGGUUACUAUAGAGAUGUGUAAUGCACUCAACAGCCUGUCAGAGAACCAGUCCUUGUUGCGGAUGCCUCCUUGGGAGAACGUCUGGCUGCUGGGUUCCAUUUGCUUGUCCAUGUCUCUUCACUUCCUUAUCCUCUACGUGGAGCCACUGCCACUGAUCUUCCAGAUCACACCUCUGAAUCUGACCCAGUGGCUGAUGGUGUUGAAAAUCUCGCUACCUGUCAUCCUGCUGGACGAGACACUUAAAUUUGUGGCCCGUACCUACCUAGAGCCUGGUAAAGAUAGUGUGCCGCCUGCCACCAAGCCACGCUCUUUGUCCGCAUGCACCGAAGGGGUUUCCUGGCCGUUUGUGUUCAUUACCCUACCCUUGGUUAUUUGGCUGUAUAGCACAGACACUAACUUUAGCGACAUGUUCUUGUCUUGACCUGAAGAGAUAACAGUUUGACAGAGAGAUGUUUAACUUAAAUCAAUUUUUUUAUUGUUUAAAGCAAUUGUCUUAUUCUGCUGAAUUUUCACAUGAACAUAUUUGCCGGUGUCUGAGGUUCCAUAUUCUAUGCCAGCCCUUCCCCAUCCCGGUGCCCUCCAGAUACCUGCUGUUACAACUCCCCUCAGCCACAGCCAGCCCACCUGUGCUAGCUAGGACCAAUGGGAGUUGUAUCCCCGACAUCUGGGAGGGGCACCAGGUCAUGGAAGGGCUGAUCUAGACGUUUUGGGUUUUUUUCUUUUACUUCCCCUGACCCGACUCCAGUGGGGGAGUAGCAUUUCUCCCCACCCCCUUUUAUACACAUCUAGGGUGUCCAUUGACAUGUACAGAGAAAUUUAACACUAUUUUAUGCAAAUAUUUUUUGUAGAGGAGAAGCAUGUACAGUGUUCUGUUUAAUAGUCAACUCAUCCUUGUAAAAACAAACAAAAAAGUGCUUUGUGGGGGGAGUGCCAGUGGACACUAUAUUGAGCAAACUGUAAUUGGUAGCAGAUUUUAGGGAAUGAAUGUUCUUGUGUGUGUUUUCUUAAACUAAAAAGCAUGCAAUUGUUUAUGUCUUCUGCAUGGUCAUCUAAUCUUAAUUUGUCAUUCAGCUGGUUUUUUCUGCACUGGGCAGAUGUAUACUGCUACCUCAGUAUCUACCCCCCCUUUUUUGCCCUUUCCAAUAUUUUUAAAUAACAACUGAAUCUUGUUUACACCUGUAUUUGUAAGAGGUAUGCUUAUUUUUGCUGGUGCAGAAAAUACCACUCCAGGGGCAACCUAUUACUGUUCUCCCCCGCAACCCACCCCCCAUCACAUGUAGAUUUUUUUUAAAAAAAAAAAAUUAUUUAUUUAAAUAUCUUAUGUAUUUUUAUUGUAACAGCAUUUUCACCAGCAUUGCCCACUUUGGGAUGGUGGGGGAGGAGCAGGAAAGGUAAAAGGCUACCUGGAUAGACUUAAGGCAAAACAAAAAAUAAAAAAUAAACUUUUUUUUAAUUGAGAAAAUUUUGUUUCUCAUUUCAUUUAUACCUUGGAGGCUGCUCCAUUUUAAUUAGCAAAAUCCAUGCAUCAAUAUUUUUGUGUUCAGUUUUUUUUUAAUUGGGGGCAUUCAUAAUGGGACCUGGAAACAAAGGACUUGCAUUUGCACAGCUGGAGUUCUCACGGGGUCUUUCUUUGGUUAGGUCUCUUAACUCUCAGUGCCACAUCUUGGGAUAUAGUCUGCUGGCCACAUCUUACCCUGAAGUGGCAAAGUAACAAAUUUGUGUGUGUGUGCGUGUGCGUGUUACGUCUCUGUGUGUGUUUUUGUAAAAUCUGUAAAUACCACAUGACCAAAUGAACAUAUUGUAUAGAACUAUUUUUAUUUUUAAUGUGGCACUAACCACCAUCAUUCUAUUGCGAUAAAUGUUACCGCAUGUUGUGUUUCCCCCCUCCAAAUUGAGUCCUGUAUCAACAAUGUGUAAGUUCAUUAACAGUCCUAACUGUGUGGUGUUUCUCUCCAAUGCCUUCCAACAUUCAUCGACUGAACAAAACUGGAGUAAUCACUUAGUCCUAGACAAAUUUUGCAGAAUUGUAAGGUUAAUUUUCUUGCAUGCGUCUUUAGGAACGCAUCUACCGAAAACAUCUGCAUGAGUCUUGUAAAUGGGAAAAUAAAAAUCUCUCCUUGGGGAGGGAGAAAAAAAUAGAACUGAAAACUCGUGUUCCACGAAGGAAGUGUGUGGUGCUCUUAAAAAGCUUCAGUUUAUAUACAGAUCUACCAAUGUGCAAUAUGGUUUUUAACUGAUAAAACAGACCUCUGCGAAGAAGUUUUGGGGUUGCAUGAAGACAAGUCUCCCUAAACUGCUAAGCAAGAAUUAAUGAGUGGUGAUUCGCCAAGUUUUUCUUUUCUUUCCAUACUUCGUUGUGUAAAAUGUCAUAGUUUAUAAAAUGUACAAUAUUGGACUGUAAUGCAUGCUUUUCAGUUGUAAGUAGCUGAUAAUCUCUAUUGUAUCUCAACAUAACACUUAAAAACAGCUCUGUACAAUAUGCAAUUCUAUUUAUACAGGUUCGUUGACAACGGUACUAUUGCUGAACGUUUAAGAAACUGUUAAACCUUCAAUUCCAUAACUUCAGCUUAAAAAAAAUAUCUUGGAGUGUGCAGAUAGGUCUAUUUUGCACUGUAAUAAUGUAACUUAUUUAAAUCUAAAGCCGUAGACACACACCAGUGCAAUACACAUGUUGUGGUGCGUUUUAUCUUAACAACAAAAGCCUAAUAAUGAACCUAGUUCAUAAAACAGCAUGUGUGACCUUUUUUCUUUGUUAGAAGUUGUAAAUAACAUUGUCUGAUUCAAUGCUGAUGGUGACAAGCAUCACACCUGCCAUCCUGGUUUCAGGUAAAAUAAACUUAUUCUAUGAUACA